rnacentral:lncRNA from 1 species
GCAGCCCUCUGUCCUGAAGGCCAGUCCCACCCCCACCAUGUUCCCCCAGCAGCACUGAGUCUAUUUCCAGUCAGCCAGUGACAAGAGCUAAGAACUUGUCCCCACACCACCAGCCUCCCUGAUGAGAAAGCAAGCAGACUCAGUUUUCUGGCAUCUCAGGGAGCAUGCAGUGGUGAUUCACUUUCUUCAAAGGGUCUCUGGAUUCUCUCAGCUUGCCUGAUGAUAUUGUGUCCGGAAUUGGUGGGCUCCUGGUCUCACUGACUUCAAGAAUGAAGCCGCGGACCCUCACAUAUCACUAUGCGAAGUUUGACACUGCAAAUAAUAUAUCCUGAUCCAAUGUUGAAAGGAAUGCUCAAUUUCCUGACUAUCUGCCUUUGAAAAUUAAAUAAAAGAAGUCAUAAUAGAAACCUUUUAUCUACAUCUCUGGAUAUUGGAACAUGGGGACUUUACUUAGACUUGACCAAGUGGAUGCCCAGCUGGGACUUUGUUAAGCAAGUGAUGCAAAG